rnacentral:lncRNA from 1 species
GCUGACCUAGGAUGGAGUUGAGGUGCGGCAGCGCGGGACACCAGAGCCCCUGCCUGCAUCCUGGGGAGCCGGGUGACCCAGGCAGCCCUGGUGAGGCCGCGGGUGUCUGGGCCCUAGGAGGCCCCCAGGCUCCCACAGGACAGAUGCGAACAGGGAGGCCGGGGAGGCCCUGCGGCCCUCGGGACUGUCCCUCCAGCCCCCAGCUUUCCGUGUUUUUAAGCGCCCCCUCUGCAAUGGGACAAGGGAGCCCGGCCUGCAUCCUGAGGCGCUGCACUUGAGGGACCCCAGAGCUCCAGCCAGGCCGCUUCCUUUGUGGAUUGCGAAGCUGAGGUCCAGUGGAGGGCAGGGGCAGGUCCUGGAAGCUCCCGAGGCAAAGAGAGCUGAUCUCGGGGCUGGGGUCACAGGGCUCCACUCCUGUGAUCUCUAGGGUCCCAGAGCCGGGAGGAGAGACUGGGUGCCUUUCGUUCACCUCUGGGGGUGGGCAGAGGCUCAGCCUGUGCCACAAGGCAAAGCUGCUUCUGUGCAGUCCGAGCCGCGGCCCCUUUAAGAGGGGGUGGUGCUUCAGCCAAUCGCUAGGGACGCUGCCGGCGUGCGAGCCUCUACGGAAGCUGAGAGGGCGCCUCCGGCAGGGCCCCCGGCAGAAGCCAUGGCGUCGUUGAAGCAAGCGGAAGCCGUGGCGGUGUGGUCGGAGAGAGCAAAAGCGGCGGCCAGAGGUGGCGGCGCGGUCCCGUGGAGCAGAAGAGGAGUCGUGUCCCAGGGAACAGAAGCUGCAGCGUCCAGAAGUGGUGGCGCGGUCCCAGCGAGCUUCCGAGCAGCCGUGGUGGCUUCCACGUGAUGGGGGAGCAGGAGGCAGGUCUCCGUGGUUCAUCUCGGUUGCUCCACAUGACACUGUUUCAUCAUUUUGGUGUCCGAAGAAUAUUCCCUAGUGUAUGCAUACGAGAGUUUCUUGAUCCCUCUGUGGAUGGACAGAGGAAGUCUUGCUUUGUCACCAGGCUGGAGUGCACUGGCCCAUUUUUGGCUUCCUGCAACCUCUGCUUCCUGGAUUCAAGCAAUUCUUCCUCCUUUGCCUCCGGAGGACCUGGGACCACGGGUGAGUGCCAUUGAGCCUCGCUAAUAUUUUUGUAUUUUUAGUAGAGAUGGCGUUUCACCAUGUCGGCCAGGAUGGUCUUGGUCUCUUGACCUCGUGAUCCGCUGGUUUUGGCCUCCCAAGGCACUGGGAUUGCAGGCUUUAGCCAUGGCCCCUAGCCUUUGUUUAUUUAUUUACUUUACUUAUUUAUUUACUUAGUAGUAAGCAGACCAUCCUGCAUUCAUUUAUUUUUUAAGUCUAUAUUUAUUUGUUUAUUUAUUUUCAUCUUAUUAUUUUUUAAAAUAGAG